rnacentral:rRNA from 1 species
GACGAACGCUGGCGGCGCGCUUAACACAUGCAAGUCGAGCGAGAACCGGUCCUUCGGGACCGGGGAAAGCGGCGAACGGGUGAGUAACACGUGGGUAAUCAACCCCAGGCACUGGGAUAGCCCGAGGAAACUCGGAUUAAUACCGGAUGGCCCAGCAGUCUUUCGAGACGGCUGGAAAAGGUAGCUUCGGCCUCCGGCCUGGGACGAGCCCGCGGCGGAUUAGCUUGUUGGUGGGGUAACGGCCUACCAAGGCGACGAUCCGUAGCUGGU